GAUGAACGCUGGCGGCGUGCCUAAUACAUGCAAGUCGAGCGAACGGACGAGAAGCUUGCUUCUCUGAUGUUAGCGGCGGACGGGUGAGUAACACGUGGAUAACCUACCUAUAAGACUGGGAUAACUUCGGGAAACCGGAGCUAAUACCGGAUAAUAUUUUGAACCGCAUGGUUCAAAAGUGAAAGACGGUCUUGCUGUCACUUAUAGAUGGAUCCGCGCUGCAUUAGCUAGUUGGUAAGGUAACGGCUUACCAAGGCAACGAUGCAUAGCCGACCUGAGAGGGUGAUCGGCCACACUGGAACUGAGACACGGUCCAGACUCCUACGGGAGGCAGCAGUAGGGAAUCUUCCGCAAUGGGCGAAAGCCUGACGGAGCAACGCCGCGUGAGUGAUGAAGGUCUUCGGAUCGUAAAACUCUGUUAUUAGGGAAGAACAUAUGUGUAAGUAACUGUGCACAUCUUGACGGUACCUAAUCAGAAAGCCACGGCUAACUACGUGCCAGCAGCCGCGGUAAUACGUAGGUGGCAAGCGUUAUCCGGAAUUAUUGGGCGUAAAGCGCGCGUAGGCGGUUUUUUAAGUCUGAUGUGAAAGCCCACGGCUCAACCGUGGAGGGUCAUUGGAAACUGGAAAACUUGAGUGCAGAAGAGGAAAGUGGAAUUCCAUGUGUAGCGGUGAAAUGCGCAGAGAUAUGGAGGAACACCAGUGGCGAAGGCGACUUUCUGGUCUGUAACUGACGCUGAUGUGCGAAAGCGUGGGGAUCAAACAGGAUUAGAUACCCUGGUAGUCCACGCCGUAAACGAUGAGUGCUAAGUGUUAGGGGGUUUCCGCCCCUUAGUGCUGCAGCUAACGCAUUAAGCACUCCGCCUGGGGAGUACGACCGCAAGGUCGAAACUCAAAGGAAUUGACGGGGACCCGCACAAGCGGUGGAGCAUGUGGUUUAAUUCGAAGCAACGCGAAGAACCUUACCAAAUCUUGACAUCCUUUGACAACUCUAGAGAUAGAGCCUUCCCCUUCGGGGGACAAAGUGACAGGUGGUGCAUGGUUGUCGUCAGCUCGUGUCGUGAGAUGUUGGGUUAAGUCCCGCAACGAGCGCAACCCUUAAGCUUAGUUACCAUCAUUAAGUUGGGCACUCUAAGUUGACUGCCGGUGACAAACCGGAGGAAAGUGGGGAUGACGUCAAAUCAUCAUGCCCCUUAUGAUUUGGGCUACACACGUGCUACAAUGGACAAUACAAAGGGCAGCGAAACCGCGAGGUCAAGCAAAUCCCAUAAAGUUGUUCUCAGUUCGGAUUGUAGUCUGCAACUCGACUACAUGAAGCUGGAAUCGCUAGUAAUCGUAGAUCAGCAUGCUACGGUGAAUACGUUCCCGGGUCU
rnacentral:rRNA from 1 species